CGCAAGCGCAGGACUCGGGAGAGCCUCGGGACAUGGUCCGACUGGAAACAGGCUCCCCACCAGCCCAGGGCCGCAGUCGCUUAGGCUUUCCUGGAAGUCUUCAGCGUGAAAUGCGGCUCCAGCGAUGUUUCCACCCCUGGUGCUGCUUACCCGACACUGCAAUUAUGGGGGGAAGAGAAUAGAGUUAAGAAGGGUGUGUUUUCCGUUUCAGCUCGGUGCUUGACUAGGAAAACCACACAGCCUUGACCGGUGGGCUCAAGGCUCUACUGGAAGCUGGUUCUGAUUGUAACUGUCUCAGCUUAAGAGGCGAGGAAAUGAGAACAAGUAAGAAGCACGUUUUCACCUUUCCACAUCUGCUUCUAAACCAAGGGGGAAUGUUAUGAGAGAAUAAAAGAAGACAGCACUGAACUUCAGAGCUGAGAUUUGCUGCCAGUGAGCUGUGCAAGCAAGCUUACGCCAGACACGGUAUAGCUGGGACCCAAGAGAUGAAGGGAGACCAGGGAAUUGGCAGGAAUGUUUGGGAAGACACUGGGAUUCGAAAGCUGUGUAACUGAAUUGUUCAAGACACACUCACCUAGAUCUCCAGAGGAAGGAAAGCACAACUACUAUCUGACUUGUACAGUUAAUCAGUAUCUGUUGAAUGAUGAUCUUGCACAGGUUACUUAUCUUUGUUGAGUCUCUUUCUUCUACUGGUAAAUGGGGGCAAGAAUAGCCAGUUGUGAGGCUUAAAUGAGACCAUUCAUAUGAGGCUUGUAGCCCUGUAUCUGGCACUUAGUAGGGUCUCAACUAAUGGUUAAUAUUGUUUCCAUUACUCUUAUGUCAUCAUUCUCAUCAUACUGUCAUGCACAUUAUAGGUGUCCAAACAGUAUUUGUUGCACAUAAAAUAAAAAACUUUUUCUCUCCAUGACAAAUGGUAACCCACUGUUAAACAACGUAUACCUUUUAAAAAGUGCUGCGCUUUUACAUUUUGAUUAUGACCGAAAGGAACACCAGUAAGACAAAUUGCCUGAACUGUUAUGAAAUUAAGAUUAUUAUAGUGGUAAGUUCCUUUUACUUACACUAGCCUUAACAUUGUCAAACCUAUGAGGCCCCAGAGACAAAUUGGCCCUCCACUGUUGUAAGAUAUCACGCAGAAAUGUCACAGACCAUUGAUGACUAUAAUCAGACACACACAAAUUUGAUUGAGACAAAGAGGCAAAGAAGAUAUUGGGGAAAAAAUCUAUUCAUUUAAGCAAAAUGUGAAUAAAGGACCCACAUGAGGAAAAUGUUCCUUUCUCCUCAGGGUAUUUUAGAAAACUGAAUA